UACGUAGGGUGCAAGCGUUGUCCGGAAUUAUUGGGCGUAAAGAGCGCGCAGGCGGUCGUUCAAGUCGCGUGUGAAAGCCCCCGGCUCAACUGGGGAGGGUCACGCGAUACUGAUCGACUCGAAGGCAGGAGAGGGUAGUGGAAUUCCCGGUGUAGUGGUGAAAUGCGUAGAUAUCGGGAGGAACACCAGUGGCGAAGGCGACUACCUGGCCUGUUUCUUGACGCUGAGGCGCGAAAGCUAGGGGAGCAAACGGG
rnacentral:rRNA from 1 species